rnacentral:tRNA from 1 species
AGCCCCGGAGCCUUUUAAGGGCUCUUCUUCAAAUUUGCACUUUGAUGUAAGUCACUUCGGAACUUU